AGAGUUUGAUCCUGGCUCAGAACGAACGCUGGCGGCGCGUCUUAAGCAUGCAAGUCGGACGGUAGAGUAGCAAUACUUUAGAGUGGCGAACGGGUGAGUAACACGUAAAUGAUCUGCCCCCUGCACUGGGAUAGCCUAUGGAAACAUAGGGUAAAACCGGAUGAGCUGGUAUAUUUGGAAAUUUAUCAGGAAAAUGGCUACGGCCAUGACAGGGGAUGAGUUUGCGGCUGAUUAGCUAGUUGGUGAGGUAAAGGCCCACCAAGGCGACGAUCAGUAGCCGGCCUGAGAGGGUGAUCGGCCACAUUGGGACUGAGACACGGCCCAGACUCCUACGGGAGGCAGCAGCUAAGAAUAUUCCGCAAUGGGGGGAACCCUGACGGAGCGACGCCGCGUGAACGAUGAAGGCAGAGAUGUUGUAAAGUUCUUUUGCUUAUGAAGAAUAAGUCUUGCAGGGAAUGGCAGGAUGAUGACGUUAGUAAGCGAAUAAGCCACGGCUAACUACGUGCCAGCAGCCGCGGUAACACGUAGGUGGCAAGCGUUGUUCGGAUUUAUUGGGAGUAAAGGGCGCGUAGGCGGAGACUCAAGCUUGUUGUAAAAUACCCCGGCUCAACUGGGGAGAUGCGGUGAGAACUGAGUCACUAGAGUUCAGGAGGGGGAGUUAGAAUUCCAGGUGUAGGGGUGAAAUCUGUAGAUAUCUGGAAGAAUACCGGUGGCGAAGGCGAGCUCCUGGCCAUGAACUGACGCUGAGGCGCGAAAGUGUGGGGAGCGAACAGGAUUAGAUACCCUGGUAGUCCACACUGUAAACGAUGUACACUAGGUGUCUGGGAGAAAUCCUGGGUACCGGAGCCAACGUGUUAAGUGUACCGCCUGGGGAGUAUGCCCGCAAGGGUGAAACUCAAAGGAAUUGACGGGGGCCCGCACAAGCGGUGGAGCAUGUGGUUUAAUUCGAUGAUACGCGAGGAACCUUACCCGGGCUCGAACGGCAAGUGAACGAUGCAGAGAUGCAGAGGUCCUUCGGGACGCUUGUCGAGGUGCUGCAUGGUUGUCGUCAGCUCGUGCCGUGAGGUGUCGGCUUAAGUGCCAUAACGAGCGCAACCCUUGUUGACAGUUACCAUCAGGUAAAGCUGGGGACUCUGUCGAGACUGCCACCGUAAGGUGAGAGGAAGGGGGGGAUGACGUCAAAUCAGCACGGCCCUUACGUCCGGGGCGACACACGUGUUACAAUGGUGGGUACAGAGGGGAGCCAUCCUGCGAAGGAGAGCAAAUCUCGAAAACCCAUCUCAGUUCGGAUUGGAGUCUGCAACUCGACUCCAUGAAGUUGGAUUCGCUAGUAAUCGCGCAUCAGCCAUGGCGCGGUGAAUACGUUCCCGGGCCUUGCACUAACCGCCCGUCA
rnacentral:rRNA from 1 species